GAUGAACGCUGGCGGCGUGCCUAAUACAUGCAAGUCGAGCGAACAGACGAGGAGCUUGCUCCUCUGACGUUAGCGGCGGACGGGUGAGUAACACGUGGAUAACCUACCUAUAAGACUGGGAUAACUUCGGGAAACCGGAGCUAAUACCGGAUAAUAUAUUGAACCGCAUGGUUCAAUAGUGAAAGACGGUUUUGCUGUCACUUAUAGAUGGAUCAGCGCCGCAUGAGCUAGUUGGUAAGGUAACGGCUUACCAAGGCGACGAUGCGUAGCCGACCUGAGAGGGUGAUCGGCCACACUGGAACUGAGACACGGUCCAGACUCCUACGGGAGGCAGCAGUAGGGAAUCUUCCGCAAUGGGCGAAAGCCUGACGGAGCAACGCCGCGUGAGUGAUGAAGGUCUUCGGAUCGUAAAACUCUGUUAUUAGGGAAGAACAAAUGUGUAAGUAACUAUGCACGUCUUGACGGUACCUAAUCAGAAAGCCACGGCUAACUACGUG
rnacentral:rRNA from 1 species